rnacentral:rRNA from 1 species
AUUGAACGCUGCGGCAGGCUUAACACAUGCAAGUCGAGCGAGCGGCGGACGGGUGCGUAAUGCUUAGGAAUCUGCCUAUUAGUGGGGGCCAACAUCCCGAAAGGGAUGCUAAUACCGCAUACUAAUAGAUUAGCCUAAGUCGGAUUAGCUAGUUGGUGGGGUAAAGGCCUACCAAGGCGACGAUCUGUAGCGGGUCUGAGAGGAUGAACCGCCACACUGGGACUGAGACACGGCCCAGACUCCUACGGGAGGCAGCAGUGGGGAAUAUUGGUAAAUGGGGGGAAACCUGAUCCAGCCAUGCCGCGUGUGUUAAGAAGGCCUUAUGGUUGUAAAGCACUUUAAGUGAGGAGGCGUUACUCGCAGAAUAAGCAACGGCUAACUCUGUGCCAGCAGCCGCGGUAAUUC